GAAAUGCGAUAAUUAAUGUGAAUUGCAGAAUUCAGUGAAUCAUCGAGUCUUUGAACGCACAUUGCGCCCCCUGGUAUUCCGGGGGGCAUGCCUGUCCGAGCGUCAUUGCUGCCCUCAAGCACGGCUUGUGUGUUGGGCUUCCGUCCCUGGCAACGGGGACGGGCCCAAAAGGCAGUGGCGGCACCAUGUCUGGUCCUCGAGCGUAUGGGGCUUUGUCACCCGCUCCCGUAGGUCCAGCUGGCAGCUAGCCUCGCAACCAAUCUUUUUAACCAGGUUGACCUCGGAUCAGGUAGUGAUACCCGCUGAACUUAAGA
rnacentral:misc_RNA from 1 species